UUUUGGUCGGGUUCGCCAGUUUUUUCCCAGUCAAGAUGUUGUAAAAAGUCGGACAGUGACAAGCUUGCAUGCGGGCAGGUCGAAGAUUCUGGUUGAUCCUGCCAGUAGUCAUAUGCUUGUCUCAAAGAUUAAGCCAUGCAUGUAUAAGUAUAAGCAAUCUAUACAGUGAAACUGCGAAUGGCUCAUUAAAUCAGUUAUUGUUUAUUUGAUAGUACCUUAGUACUCGGAUAACCGUGGUAAUUUUAGAGGUAAUACAUGCUAAAAAUCCCGACCUGAGGAAGGGUUGUAUUUAUAAGAUAAAAAACCAAGGCCUUCGGGUUCCUUGGUGAUUCAUGAUAACUUUGCGAAUCGCAUGGCCUUGUGCCGGCGAUGGUUCAUUCAAAUUUUUGCCCUAUCAACUUUCGAUGGUAGGAUAGUGGCCUACCAUGGUUUCAAAGGGUAAAGGGGAAUUAGGGUUUUAUUCCGGAGAGGGAGCCUGAGAAAAGGUUACCACAUCCAAGGAAGGCAGCAGGGGCGCAAAUUACCCAAUCCCGACACGGGGGGGUAGUGACAAUAAAUACAGAUACAGGGCCCUUUUGGGUCUUGUAAUCGGAAUGAGUACAAUUUAAAUCCCUUAACGAGGAACAAUUGGAGGGCAAGUCUGG
rnacentral:rRNA from 1 species